UCAUUUGAGGAAGUAAAAGUCGUAACAAGGUUUCCGUAGGUGAACCUGCGGAAGGAUCAUUAUUACGUAUCCACGUAUCAAACCAAAUCGUGAACUGUUUCCCGUCUGAUGAGGAUUUCUGCGAGUGUUUAAACAUUAUUAAAUGCAUGGUGAGGACUUAACCGUCUUCGAAAUGGCACUCGGUCCUGGUUGAGCAAUCAGCCAGCUCAUUGGAUGUGGUUAUUAAUUUCAAUCACUAUGCUAAAACUAUUAACCCCUUGUAAACAACUGAACUAAAAUACGGAGAUAAGUACCCUCUGAUCGGGGCAACUACCUCUGGAUAACCGAAAUUUAAGAAACAACUCUUAACAACGGAUAUCUUGGUUCUC
rnacentral:misc_RNA from 1 species